UCGGAUCUUUGUCUACUCCUU
rnacentral:piRNA from 1 species